AUACAUUUUAUAAUUUCUAAACUUAAUCUUGUACUUAUAAUAUUUUUAUUAUUAAUAAAGUACUUUUUUAUUCCAAUCAUAUUUAUGUGUCCAUGAUUUAUCUUAAAAAUUAACAAAGAUAAUUUUUAUAUAUUUUCAAAAUAUUAAGAAUUUGAAACAUACAUUAAUUAGUGAUUAAUUUUUAAAUGCUCCUGAUCAAAAGAUCAUCACGAAUGAUAGUGAUCAAUCCAUUCAA
rnacentral:lncRNA from 1 species